rnacentral:rRNA from 1 species
CCCUUACACGUUCUGGGCCGCACGCGCGCUACACUGACGAAGGCAACGAGCUUUCCUUUACCGAAAGGUACGGGUAAUCUUUUGAAACUUCGUCGUGCUGGGGAUAGAUCCUUGCAAUUUUUGAUCUUAAACGAGGAAUGCCUAGUAAGCGCAAGUCAUCAACUUGCGUUGAUUACGUCCCUGCCCUUUGUACACACCGCCCGUCGCUACUACCGAUUGAAUGGUUUAGUGAGGCCUUCGGAUCCGCGACUCGUUUGUGGAGAAGUUGGACAAACUCAGUCAUUUAGAGGAAGUAAAAGUCGUAACA